GAUGAAGAACGCAGCGAAAUGCGAUAAGUAGUGUGAAUUGCAGAAUUCAGUGAAUCAUCGAAUCUUUGAACGCACAUUGCGCCCCUUGGUAUUCCAUGGGGCAUGCCUGUUCGAGCGUCAUUUGUACCUUCAAGCUCUGCUUGGUGUUGGGUGUUUGUCUCGCCUCUGCGUGUAGACUCGCCUCAAAACAAUUGGCAGCCGGCGUAUUGAUUUCGGAGCGCAGUACAUCUCGCGCUUUGCACUCAUAACGACGACGUCCAAAAGUACAUUUUUACACUCUUGACCUCGGAUCAGGUAGGGAUACCCGCUGAACUUAAGUAUAUCAAUAAGCGGAGGA
rnacentral:misc_RNA from 1 species